rnacentral:rRNA from 1 species
UACGGAGGAUCCAAGCGUUAUCCGGAUUUAUUGGGUUUAAAGGGUGCGUAGGCGGUUUUAUAAGUUAGAGGUGAAAAUUCGGGGCUCAACUCCGGACGUGCCUCUAAUACUGUAUGACUAGAGAAUAGAUGCGGUAGGCGGAAUGUAUGGUGUAGCGGUGAAAUGCGUAGAGAUCAUACAGAACACCGAUUGCGAAGGCAGCGUGCCGUGCCGCCACUGACGCUGAGGCACGAAAGCGCGGGGAUCGAACAGG